rnacentral:lncRNA from 7 species
GGCACGUAAGCAGCUCAAGCAGAAGGUGAAGCGACAAGUGGUAAAGGGCUGCUCUUAACAGCCUUGCGCCAUGCAGGCUAACGAUGGAAUAAAGCUGCUCCCUGGGAAGGUCCCAGCCUUGAUUUACAGGCGCCUUUCAGACUAUUGUCUUAGUCUUGAGUUUGAAAAUGAGCUCUGUAGCGGAGCAGCCUUCCUUGGCUGCUGUUUCCAUGUUGAGUGACAUCAGCAAGAAUACAAUGUUAGUCCUGCACGGAAAAGCAUUUAGCUGCCUCCUUUCCCUCCUCCAUAUCACUGCAAGAAUUAUCUACAGCAUCAGAUUUACAGCCUUUAGACGUUUUGUCAUCAUCUCCUGGCAGCGGCAGCAGCUGUAAAGCAGAUCUUUCAACAGCCUUGUUAAUUGUGUAGAAAUUAAUCUGAUUUUAAAAACCUUAUUGAUAUACGGAUUCACGUGCCUUAAUGUGCGUGUGCAUAUGCCUGCUCACCUCUUCUACCCAAUGUAUUCUUCUGCAUCUCAUGUCGACCUAAUGUGCAGGUUGGGUCAUUAUCUCUGCUUACCCAUGAGGACUAACACGUUCCGGUGGGGUCAGAUUUCAUUUCAGCGUUCCUAUCGAGUGCACUGGAUCCCUCCAUGGAAAUACAGAAGCAUAUGUGAAAUAUACUCGUGGCUUUUAUGUUUGUAAGAAACGUUGCUUUUCAACUAGUCUCUCUUUCUUUUAUUUAAGUCUGUUCAGUACGUAAAUUAAGUAUAUUCAGCCUCAUCAAAUUUAUUGCUGUUGUCUUGUUCAUUUACCCGUUGCCUUAAACCAGGCACACCCACAUCCCCUGAAAUACUGACCAGCUAGUGGCCAAAGGAUAUCACCAAAACAGAUGUGAGGUUUCAUUUUUGAGAGGCUUCUAGGUGAUAUGGAAAUCUGUAAUGUUCAGUAUUCAUGCGGUGCAGGAAGCCCUCUGUGGGUUUCGUUGCUUUAUGGAGUAAAAAUAAAUAAAUCAUAAAAAUAAGUUUAAACCAUCUUUCAUAACAAGGAAUAAAUAUUGUGAUAACUUUCCACAAACCCUCAGAGAAUACAGGAAAAAAAGUUUUUCUCUAGUUUGUACUUGAUGGCGUAUGCUACUAUGCAAGUGAGGUUAUUGCUAGUAAUACAAGUAUUCAUUCCAAGUUGUAUAGGAUUGAACACUAGACUCUUUCGUGAUCCUACUUGUGGUCAUUGCAGUUUUUGCGGUACUGGUUCUUAAUGUCAGCAUGUUUUCUGAAGUUCUGGGCUGUAAUCUCCAUACUUGGUGCUGCCUGCAGUAGGUUACCUUCCUGUUUUAUGUGGCGGUGCUCUUGUGAAGAGUGGCAUCCUCUCAGCACAUUGGUGAAAUAACUUAUCCAUCUUUAUGUGAAGUGCUGCAAAGCGCUUUGCAUUUCUUUAGGAUAAGACACGGAGGGAUACAAUUUUAUCAUUUUGAAGACUGUGAAACAACUGGUUCUCUAUGCCAAUACAACUGACAGAGGCAGGCGUCGCAUUUCAACUUCAGUGAGAUUUGGGUCAGGUUCUUAAAGAAAUUCAAAUUGCAGCUGUCCUUUCUACAUGUGUAUCUGUCAGUAAAAUGAGCAGCAAUUCUGUGUAUGGAGGAAUGUCGGGCGUGGAACCCUGCACUGGCUGGCUGAUGGCUGGAGCUUGACGAAUGUUUUUGUUCCUUAAAGCCGCUAUUCAGUGCCUGUUAGUCCAAUGGGAGAUGAAGGCUGAGUGUUUUCUUCCUCUUGUGCUGUCACGUAACGUCAAGAAUCCAGGAAAGAAACUUCACAAGUGCGGUUCGGGCUUGUGAAUAUCUAAAAAUAAGUUAUUACAGUGAUUUUGUUUGUGGAGUUGCUCUUUAUCUCGUUGCUUGCCGUGCCAAGCAACAAUGUAAGAAAAAAAAUACCAAAAAGAAAAAAAAUGUAGUGAAAAUGCUAUUUGGAAGUCGUAAAUAAACUCCGCAUGAAAAUCCUAGCAGAAUAGACUUAUCCUUUCAUCCCUAUGAGACAGAUAAAUGGAGUAGCAUGCAGCCUACUGCUUGUCUUUCUUCUGGAUGAGAGUUAUAAAUCAAGGUCCUAUCUUCUGUGCAUUGAUGCCAGGCAGCUUGAUAUUUUAACAAUGAUUAUUUUUAUUUGGGGGACUAACAGCUUUUCUCCCUUACGCUGGUUGAAUUUUAUUUCAGUGGUUGUGUAUGUGCUGUAUAUAUCUGCAAAAGACUUCACAUUUGUUCAGAUGGAAAGAUAUGCUGUAAUAUUAAAUUAUAUAUAUAAAACAUGAGACCAAUUGGAAAU